rnacentral:lncRNA from 1 species
UCCAAACAUCGAGAUAUGAAAAUCACAUUACUGGAUCAAAAUGUUGCAUUUAAUUCUAUAUUUUGAAACAGUAAUAUUAACUUGAAUUGAAUUAACUGAAUAGUGCACUCAUGGAUUGAGAUAUACUACUCAAUAGAGGAAGGUUCACUUAAUUACAAAUAGAGACCAAAAGAAACUACUGAAAAUAAAAACAGGCUAUAACAUUGGAACUAAUUAAUUAUGAAUCCCAAUGUCAUUAUAAGAUGAAUUCCACAAUCUGGCAGCUCGUACAAUAACACAUGGAAUAGCUGAACGACUCACAUGGCUUCAAUAGUGUUCUAAAUCUUCCAAGCAAAACCUCCAAUACAAACAGAUUUAAAUGAAAUUCAAACAGCCUUCAUAGAUUCAUGAAAAACAACAAAAAGAUUUUUCUAAAUCAUUCAAAUCCAUCAAUAGCCUAUCAGCCAACUCAAAAUCUCAAGUGGAGAAAAACACAUUCAACAUUAAACAUCGAUCAAGAACAAGAGAAAAGCAACAGAACUUAAACUUUGGCAAAACGGCACCUAAUCAAUAUGAGAAUCAGCAUAUAUUCAACAAAAUUUCAUCCAUGAUUCAAAAUAAGAGAAUGAGCUUAGGAUUUACAUACCUCAAGCAAAGAAACAAAAGAAAGUGACCAAAUAAAGGUCAGGAAUCCAAAGAAAACAAGCUUAGCUACUAAUGGAGAGACAACAAACAGAGAAAACCAAGCUUUGGAACUAGAGCUCAAACACAGCCAAACAAGAGCAGCAACAACAAAGAUAGAAACAGCCCCAAAAGAAAACUCAGCUUGAUGGAAUUUUUGAGUGUUUUCCUCAGUCUCAAAAUCAGUCUCAAAAAUGAAGAAAAAGGAGUCUGAAUUUCAGAGGAUUUUUUUUCGUGUCCGAGAAUGUGAGGAAGAGUCCCUUUUUUAUAGAAUAUGCAUAUGCUCUAUGAGAUAAAGCCUCGAAAAGAAUUUGUCACCUGAUUUUAAGGAAUAAGGCAUCUUUUCCUAACCAAUUUUUUGACAGUUGUUUUUUUUAGAAGCUUCUCUCAUAACAGAAAAAUUCUUUUUAUUCAUACCACUGAAUUCUCUCAAAUCUUGCAAUACUUUACUGAAAUCGGUCUGGGCCUUUGGCCAAUAGGCCCAUUUCCUAUACUCGGAUCUCACAUUUAAUGGGCCUGCAUAUCAAGCAGGUCAGGCCCAAUUAAACAAAACAUAUGCUGACAGUUUUGGCCACCCCACACUCAAGCAAACAUCAAAAUUAACUAAUAAAAAAAAAACUCAUGACAAAUUGCAAUUAAAGCCUAAAUAAAUUAAGUCUAACAAAUGAAUGUUAAUUAAUCCUACUUAUCAAACAAAACAUGCUUUAGCCAGUGACAAAUAAAAAACAAAUCACAGAAAAGAGGAAGAGAAGUAUACCAAUUCUAAUCUAUGGUUGGCUAAUGACACUUGAUCAUUUCCGGCCACCAAGGGUCAUUGUGAUAUGAACACUGGCUAUGGUGCAAUUCCAUCCAGUAUUACAUGCCACAAUGGCUCAUGCACGCCGGAAUAGAGGCAGAAAAAUCCGACGACUUCGACCUAAAGGGCAGAGGAAGUCGCAACUCGACUCUAAACCAACGUCAAAUGACGCCUGAGUCACAAACCAUUGGUUGAUGCAAGCUUCGAUCUCAAACGGACUAAAAACUAUAAGAAAACCGGAAAGGGAAAGAAACAAAUUUCUUUUUUAGAUUUGAAAUUCGGGGGUCUUGGUGAGGAUUUUGAGGAAGCUAACAGGAGAUUAGUGAUGAGGGGAGGUUGAGGAUUAUAGGGUGAAGGUUUGGGCGUGAUUGGAGGUUGUUUGGUGGCGGCCGCCGGCGAAUGAGGUUUGGGAUCCUAUGGCGGCUAGGGUUUUGGGAGAGGAGGUGAGGAAGAUGAAUAAAGAGGGAUUUGGGGUUUGGGGGGUUCUAUUCCGACAUUUUUAAGGGAAGGAGAUGGUUAAU